AGUAAGGUUGCCGCCGAUGGUUCCGCCGCCUCUGGCGCGCGGAUGAAAAGGGAACAGGGUGCGGCGCCGCGUCGCCAAUGCCCUGGCUGCCCCCGCAACUGUAAACGGCGUACGACGCUCCCUAUGCCACUGGCCGCCAGGCCGGGAAGGCGAGCGAAGUGGCAAGCCGUGAGCCAGGAGACCUGCCAUCGGCAAACGGGCGUU
rnacentral:ncRNA from 2 species